rnacentral:misc_RNA from 1 species
AACGCACAUUGCGCUCCCUGGUAUUCCGGGGAGCAUGCCCGUUUCAGAACCAUUUAAAUAUCUCAAAGGAGGUGAAUUGCCAUUCGGCGAGGCACAACCUUUGGAUGUGGCGGUCACUCUUUGCGAGAGGCCGCUGGAAUGGAUUGUGCGUGUUCCGGAUGCGAUUGUCAUUCGGUUACCAAAGUGCAACAGAGCAUUCUAUUUCACCGAGGCAACCGUUUGAGCGCUGCGGAUCACGCACUCUCAAGUUUACACGAACGCGGGCGACGGUCAGUCGCCGGCUUCGAUAACUUGGUCUGAAAUCGGGUAAGAAAACCCGCUGAACUUAA